rnacentral:lncRNA from 1 species
AGUCACCACCACGUGGGUGCGGCCGCCAGCAUCAGAACAAAUGGCAUCUUCUAGAAGGUAUUGCGGAACCUGAAGCAAGAUUCGGUUCAAAAAGUCUAGGGUUUAUGGGGUUAAGAUUCAAAGAGUUAAGAAAUGUGGCAGUUCUCCGUACUAACUGUUUUGUCUGGGUUGAAAAGUCAUAGUUCGAUGGGUUCGACGUUCGAUGAUACUGUGUCACUGAAUGCAGUGGAAAACGGAUAAAAAACUCCGAUUAUUUGUUUGGGGUUAUUUGAAAGCGGCCGAUGGGUAGUGCCUGAAUUAAGUAUGGACAGCCAAUCGCCGAUAGUCUCUGAUCAGCAACUAAAAGAGCUAGGAGUAAUCUUUCACAAUCCGCCCUUACCACCCAUCCGUGAAACAAAAAUAAUUGACGGCAGAAAAUGCAGGGUGAGCGCGACAUCCUUGAGCUUACUCAUGACACCCACGACGAGAGCCCACCAAGCGCAUUUUAACACGAGCCUAUUUUUUAUGUUCAAACGAUAUAUUUUCAGGUAUUUCGAUCCGAGACUGAACGGAAAAAGCAUAUCGGGGCAUGCCAAAUCAAAGUUGCCGAGAACUGCGAGAAUGGUGCAAGGCAGGCACAGCCAGCGAGCAAGUAGCAGUCAUCUUCAAGAUCAACCAAAGGCACCUGUCUUCUUUCCUGCAGGGCUACCUGUGUACUGAAAGCAAUUGAGGUUUGCGGGGGUCCCGCCUGGCACAGAUGGCUUCCCUUCAAGCCCGGUGCGCACCCUCGAUUCGCUUUUCCUGUAAGAAUGCCUGCCCUUUGCCCGCACUCCCGUCAAACCGCACCCCCCCUCCGCAUGACCUUUCUAGGUGGCCGUGACGCCGGGGAGUUGGAGGCCUGUGAGUCCCGAGUUCUGGAGGUGCGUCUCAGAAGCAAUCAGCGACGGGGUCCCUCCCUACGCCAAACCACCUUCUGCCCCCCUCCUUUCCUCCCUUAGCUUGCAUAACGGUUCCCAUCGCUGCGUGUCCCUAUCUACUACAUCUAUACAAGGGCCACCAGCAAGGGGCAGUAGUGGGACCGCGCUCAAGAGGUAUUAAGGCAUACCGCGGGGCGGCGAAUUUAUCUAGUUGAAAUGGAAUAUGCGCGGAGGGAAGCAUUUCUCAGCCACCUGAUCUUCUUCUAUCUCUGCGCCACCCUGUCCUUUUCCCCCCCGUUACUUAAGCAAUCCGACUUUUUUCUUUUCUCAGCCACCUGAUCUUCUUCUAUCUCUGCGCCACCCUGUCCUUCCCCCCCCCGUUACUUAAGCAAUCCGACUUUUUUCUGCUCCUAACGAGCAUGACGUUAGCUUUUCGUACAGAGCCUUCUGUCCAAGCCCUUCCUUUCCAUUUAUGUCAAGUCGCGGGGUGCUUGGCAAGUGGUAAAGGCGAAAUGGGGUUAAUACUGGCGAAACGGGGUUAAGGACGUGGCGACCCCCGCGUGAUCUCGGAAUGGAAUGGAAUAGAUCCAUGGUUGGGCCAAAUCCCUGGGCUGGGAACAGCCGGGGUUAUAAAGACCACGUGAUGAGUCUUUUUUGACGUUGCAGAAGAAGACAGCGUGGUUCCCCCUCCCUUGGGCCCAAGCUACACAACGGCACCCAGCCUUUGUGGGGGAUGAGAACCUGCAGCACAACCAGCCAGCCUCCCAACCAGCCAGCCGGCCUUUACCCGCCCUCGUCCCGCUUCAUGUUUCUUGUCGCGCCCUCGACGUCCUCCUCCUCCCCUCCCGCGGCCCAUUACCACCCUUCCCCGCAAUAGGAGUGUGUGAUGGCGGCAAAGGGCAACUGCCAGUCACACGCCGUGUCGCUGUGUGAGACCUCGCACCCCACUCACUUGUGGCUCGAGUGAGCAGCCCGAGGAGGAGGUGGAGGGAAGCGGGAGGAGCGCGUGGAGACUCAACGAGAAAGAGCGUGGUAUACCACAAGAAGAGGAAGAGGGUGGUGGCCAGGAGGAGGGGGAGGAGGAGGAGGAGCAGAGGUGCAGGGGAGAGGAACCAGAAGCACGAGAUACCUGCGAGCAACCUUGUAGACCUCUUUUGAAAAAGCCAGCGUCUUUGGACGAUGGUUGUCGGCAACCGUUGGCAACGUUACGUGAGGCAACCCCAGGACGUGAGAGCGGCGACGGAUGCUGUUGGAAGCCCUUGCACGCGGCCCGAUGUGUUCAUGCUGUUGUUGUUACAGUGUUUACCGUCGCUAGGUCGUGAAACAUGUGUGUCUGUACCUAUGGAGGCAGGCUUGCAUUCGCUCAGUAAGGUGGUGAUGGCGGAUGUGGUUUGAAUCUGAGGGGGAUUCUGAAUCCAGAUUUUGCACUGGAAGGGUUGGCAAUCUACGACAAUCUAUGAAUACUGCUACAUAGGAACGGAUGGGAGUGGAGGGGGAUGCGGGGGCACUCAACUCUCCACUCGCAUUUAAAAAAAUGCCGAUACAUCCGCGUUUAGGUAGCAACUCAAACGACCGGACAAGAAGUUGGGAUGAGUGGGGUUCGAAUGGGGUUCUUGUUUUCUUGCUUUUCGAGGCUGCCUGUCGCUUUUAAGACUCUCCCUG